UUCUUGUAGUGUCUGAUUUGAACUACAGAAUAUAGGGAGCAGUUUCAUUUAACAAGUUUCAGUUUUUUGUUCAUUGCAUCUGACAUAUUUUUAAGUGUCCCUGUCCUGUUUCACUGACUAUUGUUUUCUCUCAGAUCUAUACUGCAGCUGUAUCAGCAAAAAACUGGAAAUGAGGAUCUCAGCUGACUCCUGUUUUACAUCUUGGAGCUGGAGCAUGUGCUGGAAUAAUUGCCAUGUCCGCAACUUAUCCAAUGGAUAUGGUUCGAGGCAGGAUAACUGUACAGGUUCCAUUGUAGGUCUAAACUUUGCUGUUUAUGAGUCUUUGAAAGAUUGGUUAGUUAAAUCCAAUCCAUUUGGUCUAGUGCAAGAUUCUGAGUUGAGUGUGACAACUCGCCUGGCAUGUGGUGCUGCACCUGGAACUGUUGGGCAAACUGUUGCUUAUCCCCUUUGAAGCACCUUUAGAUUGAAGGUGUGAGUAUCAUUUUAGAGAAGCCAAUCCAUGCAUGUUGUUAGAAUUUUAAUUAUUAUUUUUUUAGGUGUUACAUAUCAUAGCCCAUAUUGUUAACGUGGUUUCUCAGCCUGGGAAAUCGUGGAAUAAUUAUUGAUUACUAGACCAUAUAAUAUUACUCUACUUAACAACAUUAUCUCUUUUAAUGUGAUCAUAAAUGUUCUGAGGAAAUAGAGUGUUCAUGCAGAUGUCUUGAUUAAUUUCCAACACCUAGACUACAUGUGUCAGCUUUCUGUUUCACUUGGGUUUUAGGUUUUUUCAGCACUUAGAUUUGUUUUACAAACCAACUGCUGCUUUCAUCUGCAAUAUCAAAUUCCCUCUUCAGGUGGCUAGCUUUCCAUUUGAUGAUCAUAAUUGCCCACCACUUCAACUGGUUAUCUCUUUCUGUCAUAGUGCAUACUCGUGGUUGAAGUUAGAUAUUGAGAAUGUUGUGGUUGUCCACUGUAAGGCUGGAACGAACAAGGUUGAUGAUUUCUAGUCUUCUAUUAUUCUUGAAGUUCUUUCCAAUUGCUGAGGAGUCAAUGGAUUACUAUAAUAAAAAAUGAUGUGUUGAUGGAAAAGGACUUGUUCUGCCCAGUCAGAUUGGAAGCUGUGAAACAUUUUGAUCCUGGUCCUAGUGUUCCUCACAGCCAUACCAAGCCUUAUGUACGAUCUAAGGGAAGGAAGUUUGAGAGGGCUAGAGGAAGAAAGAACAACAAAGGACUUAGUGUUUAAGUUGUAUUGUUUCUGU